rnacentral:rRNA from 1 species
GUAGUCCACGCCCUAAACGAUGGAUACUCGACAUACGCGAUACACUGUGUGUGUCUGAGCGAAAGCAUUAAGUAUCCCACCUGGGAAGUACGUUCGCAAGAAUGAAACUCAAAGGAAUUGGCGGGGGUCCGCACAAGCGGUGGAGUAUGUGGUUUAAUUCGAUGAUACGCGAGGAACCUUACCUGGGCUAGAAUGCUGGGAGACCGUGGGUGAAAGCUCACUUUGUAGCAAUACACUGCCAGUAAGGUGCCGCAUGGCUGUCGUCAGCUCGUGCCGUGAGGUGUUGGGUUAAGUCCCGCAACGAGCGCAACCCCUAUCUUUAGUUGCCAACAGGUAAUGCUGGGAACUCUAAAGAAACUGCCGCCGUAAGGUGUGAGGAAGGAGGGGAUGAUGUCAAGUCAUCAUGGCCUUUAUGCCCAGGGCUACACACGUACUACAAUGGGGAGGACAAAGGGCUGCAACAUAGCGAUAUGAAGCCAAUCCCAAAAACCUCCUCUCAGUUCAGAUUGCAGGCUGCAACUCGCCUGCAUGAAACUGGAAUCGCUAGUAAUCGUAUAUCAGCAAUGAUACGGUGAAUACGUUCCCGGACCUUGCACACACCGCCCGUCAAGCCAUGGGAGUCGGGUGUACCUAAAGUCGGUAACCGAAAGGAGCUGCCUAGGGUAAAAUCGAUGACUGGGGCUAAGUCGUAACAAGGUA